rnacentral:rRNA from 1 species
AUUGAACGCUGGCGGCAUGCCUUACACAUGCAAGUCGAACGGCAUCCCUGGAGCUUGCUCCUGGUGGCGUGUGGCGAACGGGUGAGUAAUACAUCGGAACGUGCCCUGAAGUGGGGGAUAACGUAGCGAAAGUUACGCUAAUACCGCAUAUUCUGUGAGCAGGAAAGCAGGGGAUCUUCGGACCUUGUGCUUUAGGAGCGGCCGAUGUCGGAUUAGCUAGUUGGUGGGGUAAAGGCCUACCAAGGCGACGAUCCGUAGCGGGUCUGAGAGGAUGAUCCGCCACACUGGAACUGAGACACGGUCCAGACUCCUACGGGAAGCAGCAGUGGGGAAUUUUGGACAAUGGGGGCAACCCUGAUCCAGCCAUGCCGCGUGAGUGAAGAAGGCCUUCGGGUUGUAAAGCUCUUUCGGCGGGGAAGAAAUGGCGUGGGUUAAUACCCUGCGUUGAUGACGGUACCCGCAUAAGAAGCACCGGCUAACUACGUGCCAGCCGCCGCGGUAA